rnacentral:rRNA from 1 species
CAUUACUGAAGUAAACGGGGGAGUGCUGGCCUGCUGGCCUGCGGGCAAGUGCACCCUCCACCUUCAUCCACACACACCGUGUGCACCGUUUGAGGUUGGUCCUCCCGUAUCCGGAGCCGGCCCCGUUGGUGUUUUUGAACACCAGAUUAUGGGACUUGCCGCAAGGCUUGGCCCUGGCCUGGGGACUCUCCUACACCCUUUUCACAAACUCUAUUCUUGACCUGGAACGUAGCAGCGGCUCUGCCGCAAAACCCAUAUACAACUUUCAACAACGGAUCUCUUGGUUCUCGCAUCGAUGAAGAACGCAGCGAAAUGCGAUAAGUAAUGUGAAUUGCAGAAUUCAGUGAAUCAUCGAAUCUUUGAACGCAUCUUGCGCUCCUUGGUAUUCCGAGGAGCAUGCCUGUUUGAGUGUCAUGUUAUCUCUCAACCCUUGGGUUGGACUAUGGAUGUCUGCGGGAGCCAGCCUUCCGCUCGUCUCAAAUGCAUUAGCAGGUGCCCUUGCUCCUUGCUGGCGUUGAGUAAUGCUUGCGCCGCGCGAGGUCGCGAACAGUGCCUUUCUGCUUACCAGCCGGCACCCCCGAGUGCCAAUUUUGACCUUUCUGGCCUCAAAUCAGGUAGGACUACCC